CAAGGACUAUAUUAUAUUUUUCUUCAAUCAGGAAUUUUCCAAAACCCUAGUCGAUUACGAGAUCCAACCUAGCUUGGCUUAUCUCUCAAGUUUUUUUAGAAGAGUACGUCUUAUUGAAUAAUGAUGAAGAUGAAGGAGGCUACGCAGGAGGAGUCUGUGACUGCCACAUCUGUUCUUUGGGACAUCAAUAGGUGUCCGCUUCCCGAUGGCUGUGCUCCUCGUCUGGUCCGUCCGAGUAUUAAACGGCUAUUAGAGAAUCAUGGCUACCAUGGUGAUGUCACCGUCACUGCGUUUGGUGACCUAUCGGGCGUACCUGUUGACUUCCUGAGAGAAGUCUUUUCCAGUGGAAUCAAUCUUAACGUCGUCACCCUCCAUCACUUAAACAUCUUGGACCUAAUUGAUACCGACGACAUAGAUCCACCUCCAACUAAUUUUAUGGUUUUAUCUCCUCGGAAAGAAUGCGGUCGUUUAUCUGACUUACUAAAGUUGUAUGGUCACAACCCUCUCCAGCCGUUUCCUUUUGAGUCUUUUGAAAGCAUAAUUAUGGAAGAUUCAGAGGAGGAAACAGGUGGAUCUGCCUUGUGGGAUUGCUUAAUAUGCGCCUGUGAUCCUCCUGGACAAAUCUUUGAAAAUCUCAUCGCUCAUCUGUCUGAUGAAGAACAUCAUCAUUAUUUUCGUCACGAGAUGGCUACAAGAUGGAUGCCUCCUGAUCCGGACGACGACGCUGCCGUGGUGCAUUCGCCGGCCAAUGCGAUGCUGACGAACUAUGCACCUCCACCUCCUCAUGUGAUAGACUGGGAGGUUGCAAAGGUUGUGGGUGAGACAGUGGUCUUUUGGGACAUCAAUUCGUGUCCCGUUCCCCUUGGCUUUGAUGCUAGUCUGGUCGGUCUGUGCAUCAAACGGUUCUUGAGGAAAGAAGGCUACUCUGGUCAUGUCACCAUCGAAGCCAUUGGCGUUCUAGCAGACGUCCCUAAUGACACUCUGGAAAAAGUCUAUUCCGGUGGAAUCACUCUUCAUAACGUCCCCUACGGUCCCUCAGACACUGUGAAGCUCGUUUUUGAGCGUUCCAAUAGGCCUGGUCCUCUAUGUAACAUAAUGGUCAUAUCCAAUGCCAAAAUCUUUGCUUGGGAGUCUAAGUCUCAAACAUUGAGAUGCAACCUUCUAAAGCCGUUUCCCAUCGAUUCUAUUCAGCGCUUUUGUGUGGCAGAAUCAGUUGAGGAGGAUCAAUGCAGUGAAACGGGUGAGUCUGCCUUCUUGAUUUGCUCAUUAUGCAACUACCAUAGUCUUCCCUUCCACAGAUUUGGAAGUUUUGCCAUGCAUCUCAACAGUAGACGCCAUCAACAGAAGUUGUCGGAGCUGUUGCCCAUAAGUAAGCAACUCCAGUGCUUGAGUGCACCACUAAGUGAGUCUCCUGAGAAAGACUUGGGGGCUGUAACAUCGGUCUUUUGGGACAUCAAUAUGUGUCCGGUUCCACCAGGUUGUGUUCCUCGUCGCGUAGGUCCGUGUAUUAAACAGUUUUUGGAGAAUAAAGGCUACUCUGGUCCUCUCACCAUCACUGCCAUUGGCGUACUAACAGACGUCCCUAAUGACAUUCUGGAAGGAGUCUAUUCCAGUGGAAUCUCUCUUAAUAACAUCGCCUCUGUUUCUGAAACAGGGUUUUUUGCCACUGUUGAUCGUCUAAUUUGUGAGUUUACUGUUGAGAAUCCACCUCCAGCUAAUCUAAUGGUCAUAUCCGACGCAAAAUCCUUCACUUCUGAUGAUGCAUUCUCGCUAGAAUCGAGGGGAUACAACAUUCUUCAGCCGGUUCCAUGUGAUUCUCUUGAAAGAUUUUUCUUGGCAGCUUCAGAGGCACUUGAGGAGGAGGAUAAGUGCAGUGAAACCAGUGAAUCUGCCUUCUGGAUUUGCUCGGUAUGCGACGAUCUUCGUGGCCAAGGGUUUGGAAGUUUUACCACUCAUGUUACUAGUUGGUCACACAAGCGGAAGCUGUUGGACUGGUUGCCUGGGAAUGCUCGGUUUCUUCGUAAGGAGUGUGCUCCCAACCUUGGUGACCAAGCUACUAGCGAAAGUGGAAUAAGGAGUAGUAGAGAAACAUGAAGAAAAAAAGAACUGAAGAAUGCCGAUGGUGUGUGUUUAAGUAAGAAAACUAUGCCCGAUGCCGAUGGUGCAUUCGACCGCACAUGCGAUGCUUACGAACUAUGCACGUCCAACAGUUCUUUAUCUCUGACAUCAAGUCCAACAAUAUAUUUAUACUCAUUACCAGGUUAUCAUAACCUAAGACGGAUAAAAAUCGAUUAAAAUUUGAUGAAACGUUACAAUCAAGUCUAAAUUAUUAAAAUUGCAUCGUAUGAGGAUUGGACUAAAAAGAUGACUUGUAAAGCAACUCUUGUUUCCGUGAAAGUUAUCACAUUAAUUUGGAGAUAUGUUUCCUUUUA